rnacentral:rRNA from 1 species
GACGAACGCUGGCGGCGUGCUUAACACAUGCAAGUCGAACGGAAAGGCCCUGCUUUUGUGGGGUGCUCGAGUGGCGAACGGGUGAGUAACACGUGAUUAACCUGCCCUUGACUUUGGGAUAACUUCAGGAAACUGGGGCUAAUACCGGAUAGGAGCUCCUGCUGCAUGGUGGGGGUUGGAAAGUUUCGGCGGUUGGGGAUGGACUCGCGGCUUAUCAGCUUGUUGGUGGGGUAGUGGCUUACCAAGGCUUUGACGGGUAGCCGGCCUGAGAGGGUGACCGGCCACAUUGGGACUGAGAUACGGCCCAGACUCCUACGGGAGGCAGCAGUGGGGAAUAUUGCACAAUGGGCGGAAGCCUGAUGCAGCAACGCCGCGUGCGGGAUGACGGCCUUCGGGUUGUAAACCGCUUUCGCCUGUGACGAAGCGUGAGUGACGGUAAUGGGUAAAGAAGCACCGGCUAAAUACGUG